rnacentral:snoRNA from 8 species
AUUGGUUGAAUAUCACCCCCAGCUUUGGCCAUGGCCAUGGGUGAGAUUUGGCACCCAGAGCCUCCAGGGGCCUCAGCUUAUUGUGCACUGCCCCAUGUGCAGCUGUGGAACCCAGGCCCUGAUGGGC